rnacentral:rRNA from 1 species
AAGAACCAACAGGGAUUACCUCAGUAACGGCGAGUGAAGCGGUAACAGCUCAAAUUUGAAAUCUGGCUCUUUCAGGGUCCGAGUUGUAAUUUGUAGAAGAUGCUUCGGGUGUAGCUCCGGUCUAAGUUCCUUGGAACAGGACGUCAUAGAGGGUGAGAAUCCCGUAUGUGACUGGUUGCUUUCGCCCAUGUGAAGCUCUUUCGACGAGUCGAGUUGUUUGGGAAUGCAGCUCUAAAUGGGUGGUAAAUUUCAUCUAAAGCUAAAUAUUGGCCAGAGACCGAUAGCGCACAAGUAGAGUGAUCGAAAGAUGAAAAGCACUUUGGAAAGAGAGUUAAACAGUACGUGAAAUUGUUGAAAGGGAAGCGCUUGCAACCAGACUUGCACCCCGUCGAUCAUCCCCCGUUCUCGGAGGUGCACUCGGCGGGGUUCAGGCCAGCAUCGGUUUCGGUGGUGGGAUAAAGGCCUUGGGAACGUAGCUCCUCUCGGGGAGUGUUAUAGCCCUCGGUGCAAUGCCGCCUACCGGGACCGAGGACCGCGCUUCGGCUAGGAUGCUGGCGUAAUGGUUGUAAGCGACCCGUCUUGAAACACGGACCAAGGAGUCUAACAUCUAUGCGAGUGUUUGGGUGUUAAACCCAUACGCGUAAUGAAAGUGAACGGAGGUGAGAACCCUUUAGGGUGCAUCAUCGACCGAUCCUGAUGUCUUCGGAUGGAUUUGAGUAAGAGCAUAGCUGUUGGGACCCGAAAGAUGGUGAACUAUGCCUAAAUAGGGUGAAGCCAGAGGAAACUCUGGUGGAGGCUCGCAGCGGUUCUGACGUGCAAAUCGAUCGUCAAAUUUGGGUAUAGGGGCGAAAGACUAAUCGAACCAUCUAGUAGCUG